AACGAACGCUGGCGGCAUGCCUAACACAUGCAAGUCGAACGAAGGCUUCGGCCUUAGUGGCGCACGGGUGCGUAACGCGUGGGAAUCUGCCCUUUGGUUCGGAAUAACAGCUGGAAACGGCUGCUAAUACCGGAUGAUGACGAAAGUCCAAAGAUUUAUCGCCAGAGGAUGAGCCCGCGUUGGAUUAGGUAGUUGGUGGGGUAAAGGCCUACCAAGCCGACGAUCCAUAGCCGGUCUGAGAGGAUGAUCAGCCACACUGGGACUGAGACACGGCCCAGACUCCUACGGGAGGCAGCAGUGGGGAAUAUUGGACAAUGGGCGCAAGCCUGAUCCAGCAAUGCCGCGUGAGUGAUGAAGGCCCUAGGGUUGUAAAGCUCUUUUACCCGGGAAGAUAAUGACUGUACCGGGAGAAUAAGCCCCGGCUAACUCCGUG
rnacentral:rRNA from 1 species